UACGUAGGGAGCAAGCGUUGUCCGGAAUCAUUGGGCGUAAAGCGCGCGUAGGUGGCUUCGUAAGUCCGUUGUGAAAGUCAAAGGCUCAACCUUUGAAAGCCGAUGGAUACUGCGGAGCUAGAGUACGGAAGAGGCGAGUGGAAUUCCUGGUGUAGGUGGUGAAUGCGCAGAUAUCAGGAGGAACACCAAUAGCGAAGGCAGCUCGCUGGGACGUACUGACACUGAGGCGCGAAAGCGUGGGGAGCGAACAGGA
rnacentral:rRNA from 1 species